GGAACUAGACUGGGGUGGGCCAGACGGAGAGCCAGGUUCUGCGUGGUGCUGAGCCCAGAGGACAAGGGGUGGAAGCCGGCUUGGAGUUAGGUCCCACUGGCCCCCUGGGGUGUCCAGGUCGACCCAGCGCUGAAGGGUCAGCCUUGACUGGCACCGUGCCUCCUCCUGCCACCCACCAGUCAGAAGACAGCAGCCUGAAAUGAGAAUUCCCCAGAGUCUCCAAUGUCCUGGACCUGCUUGUCAGAUGGGGAAACUGAGGCACAUCCAACCACCUGCUUCCUAGAGCAGGUACCUCUCAACUGAAGGCCCACGGUGACCAACACCACAGCCCUGUACCCCUGCAGGAACGUUGGGGCGACUGUUUCAGCUGCCCCGCAGGCUCUGUCUGCAGGGUUGCUUAGGAUUUGACCCACAGCACGGACUCCUGUGGAGCCUCCUUUCCUCCUGGACCAGCGCUGUCCCAGCCUCCACUGGGGAUGCUUGCUAGAGACACAGGAAAGAUCUGUGGCAGAUGGGGCCUCCCAGGUCCACCCAGCCUCAAGGGGAGCCAACCAAGGAGUGGGGAGUGGAAACUUCACCCCAACCCCUGGCAUCCAUGUACCCAAAGAGUCUUGAAUGCUCAUCCCAAUCUCCCUCCCCCAUCUCUCCCCAAAUCCUGCUGCAUCUCAGAAAGCCCACCAAAUGAUGACCCCCUCCCCAGAGAUGCUCAAGACCUCGCCCUCAGGGUAUUUAAACUGCCCACCAGAAAACAGCAUGGUGGGUUUGUGGUCUUCCUUCCCUGUCUCCUCUCUGGGGGCUGGAAAAUCACCCAGGAGCGUUGUACCCAUUAAACCUGGGCUUUUUCUAA